GAGACACGUUGGAAUGCGCGAGGGGGGGUGCGGGCGCUGCGCGGGACGUCAGCGAGCGCCGAGCCGCCCUCUGGCGGAAGGGGAGGCUGCGCGGCCGUCCCGUCCCGUCCCGUCCCGUCCCGUCCCGUCCCGUCCCGUCCCGUCCCGUCCCUCAGCGGCGCGGGACCGGAGCGGUCCGCGGUCUCCCUUCCGAGCGGAUACUGCAGAAACUCCUACUGAUGACUGCUCUGCCUCUUCGAAGUCAUAGGUGAUUUGGGACAGUGGUGAGGGAGCCCUGGCACAGGCUGCCCAAGGAGGGUGUGGAGGCUCCUUCCUUGGAGGUCUUCAAGAUCCGCCUGGACAUGUUCCUGUGUGACCUGAUCUAGGUGGACCUGCUUUUGCAGAGGAGUUGGACUAGAUGAUCUCUAAAAGUCCCUUCCAACCCUACCAUUCUAUGAUUCUAUGCUUUGCUAUUUUAAUAAACCUUGCAAGAUAUAAAA